rnacentral:rRNA from 1 species
GAUGAACGCUAGCGGCAGGCUUAAUACAUGCAAGUCGAGGGGCAGCGCGGGUAGCAAUACCUGGCGGCGACCGGCAAACGGGUGCGGAACACGUACGCAACCUUCCCAAAACUGGUGAAUAGCCCUCCGAAAGGAGGAUUAAUACACCGUACCAUACCGAGGAGGCAUCUCCUUGUUAUUAUAGUAGCAAUACGGUUUUGGAUGGGCGUGCGCCUGAUUAGGUAGUUGGCGGGGUAACGGCCCACCAAGCCUACGAUCAGUAACUGGUGUGAGAGCACGACCAGUCACACGGGCACUGAGACACGGGCCCGACUCCUACGGGAGGCAGCAGUAAGGAAUAUUGGUCAAUGGACGCAAGUCUGAACCAGCCAUGCCGCGUGAAGGAUGAAGGUCCUCUGGAUUGUAAACUUCUUUUAUAUGGGACGAAAAAAGGGUUUUCUAACUCACUUGACGGUACCAUAGGAAUAAGCACCGGCUAACUCCGUGCCAGCAGCCGCGGUAAGGCACGACU